rnacentral:rRNA from 1 species
UACAGAGGGGGCAAGCGUUAUUCGGAAUUAUUGGGCGUAAAGGGCGCGUAGGCGGCUUUGCAAGUGACGGGUGAAAUCCCUCGGCUUAACCGAGGAACUGCCUGUCAGACUGCAUGGCUUGAGACCAGGAGAGGUGAGUGGAAUUCCCAGUGUAGCGGUGAAAUGCGUAGAUAUUGGGAGGAACACCAGUGGCGAAGGCGGCUACCUGGACCGGUUCUGACGCUGAGGCGCGAAAGCGUGGGUAGCAAACAGG